UUCCGUUGGUUUCCAUUCCAUGAUCGGUCCUCCGUUGGUUUCCCUUCCAUGUUUGUAUGGGUUUUUCAGUCUUCUUUCCAUGAACGACCAAUCGACAUUAUCGGUCUUCUUUCCGUUGAUCUUGUCCUCCGUUCUUCUGUUUUCUUUCUGUUGUUCAGGGUUGAUGUGUUCGUCGGCUUUUCAGUCUUGGUUUAUCUUGAUCUUCGGUUGGUCGUUCUGGGGUUGUUUUGGGUUGAUGUUGUGGGUUUGUUUCGGUUUAUCUAUUGUUUUGGUUUAUCGUUCUGUGUUCGUUUUGGUUGAUGUUGUGAGUGUUACGUUGCCGUAACCGCGAGUUGAGAGGAUUGGAAAUUGGGUUGAAAUUCGAUAAUCCCCAACAGGGAUCCCGCCUUGUAUUUAAACUAACUAUCCGCCAAUGUCUGAGUGACACGUCGUUAUUCAUCCACGACUAACUAACUAAUUGCUAAUUACAUCUUUUAUUUAAUAGUAAACAUAAUUCUGAUCCUUCGUCGAUUGCGGGAUUCUGUUAGAACGCUGCUGGGCACGAUCCCCCUGUUCCACUAACUCCAGAUCCUUCUGCAAUCGUUCCACCACGGAAUCUAGCUCUAACUGGACUGUUACAGUGAGUUUGUUUCCGUCGAUCUUUAUUUUCGUUGUUUUGGGUUUGUUCCAUUGAUCUGUUUUUUUCCGUCGAUCUGGUUUUUUUUUGUUUUGGGUUUGUUCCGUUGAUCUGGUUUUCUUUUUGCUUCUCAGUUCUUACUACACAGUCUUAAGUGGUAAUUACUCAACGUUUAGUCAAUGUCGGUUGAUUGUCCAUUUGAUGGUUCCAGUUCAUCUUCUGCCCAUUUAAUAGUUCCAGUUGAUCGUCCACUGGCAAUUUCUUCAUCUGGAGUACUCUAACGAUCGGUCGAAUUCAUAGUUCUUUACCAUAGUUUGAUUUGCAUUGAAAGUCAAGGAUUUCUGCUUUUUUGCUAUUGAGUUCAGUAAAAUGGAAGGUAAACAGAUUUAUAUUUAUUUACUAGUUAUUUCAAGGUUUGGCGACUAGUUGAUUGGCGACUAGUUCUAUUUCUGUUUAUUCAGCCACUAAUUUGGUCGUCGAAAUUUUUUGAUAUACUAACAGUUUAUUCGGAAAAUGGUAUGGGUAUAUGGUUUUCUUCUUGCUGCUCAGUUCUUGCUACAAUCUUUUCAUUGGUUCCAGUUCAUCGUCUGCCCCAUUUUAUCGUUACAGUUAAUCGUCUAUCAGCAAUUUCUUCAUUAACCAGUUAAUCGUCGAUAAGCAAUUUCUUCAUCUGAAGUUCGUUAUAGAAAUCAGACUAAAGGACGAAUGUUCAAUCGAAUCCGGAGUUCUUUAAGGAAGUAUAAUUGGCAUCGGAAUUUAAGGAUUGCAGUUAGUGCAGUCACUGUUCGGCGACUAUUUCUGAUGUUUUUAAUUUGACCACUUUUUUGUUCGAAAACUAUUUCUAUUUCUGUUUAAUCGUUUUGUAAGUUACUGAUAGAGUUUUGAUAUAGG
rnacentral:lncRNA from 1 species